rnacentral:rRNA from 1 species
AACGUAGGUGGCAAGCGUUAUCCGGAUUUACUGGGCGUAAAGCGUGUGCAGGCGGGAGAACAAGUGGUGUAUGAAAUGGCUCGGCUCAACCGGGCGAGGUUAUGCCAGACUGUUCUUCUAGAGUGCGAGAGAGGGGCAUGGAAUUCCGGGUGUAGUGGUGAAAUGCGUAGAUAUCGGGAGGAACACCAGUGGCGAAGGCGGCUUUCUGGCCUGCUCUUGACGCUGAGGCGCGAAAGCUAGGGUAGCAAACGGG